CAAUCAGUCAAAAAAAGAAGUUGGACUUAAAGAGGUAUGAAAAUGUUUAAAACAUUGAGCAACAUGGCAAUUUUAUUGAAAGAUAUUGGCAACUUGACGAAGUGUUUGAAUCACGUUCAGUAUUUAUUUACAGAAAAAAAUGAGGACAAAGGUAUUGAACGAUACUGUGGAUUUUAUUUACUUCUUCAAAUUUGACCAAAUAAGUGUUCAAUAUUUUAGAGCAGGGGUCUCCAAACUUUGCAGCCA